UACACACCGCCCGUCACACCAUGGGAGUUGGCCACGCCGGAAGUCGUUACUCUAACCGUUCGCGGAGGAGGGCGCCUAAGGCAGGGCUGAUGACUGGGGUGAAGUCGUAACAAGGUAGCCGUACCGGAAGGUGUGGCUGGAUCACCUCCUUUUAGGGAGACCUUACCCCUUCUUUUUGAAAGUCCUAGGACAGUAAAGUAAAAAAGGAGCAGGUCAUCUCAAGGUCGGUCAGGAAUAUAGUGUUGGUUUCCAAACUGUCUGGUCUGGUUAUUCAACCAGCAUGGGCUAUUAGCUCAGGUGGUUAGAGCGCACCCCUGAUAAGGGUGAGGUCCCUGGUUCGAGUCCAGGAUGGCCCACCUUACAAUCUGUAUAUUUAAAAAAGCAGAUUGUUUUGUAAGGGGGUUUAGCUCAGUUGGUAGAGCGCCUGCUUUGCAAGCAGGAUGUCAGCGGUUCGAGUCCGCUAACCUCCACUGAGUGAUUUAGUCACUCUAAAAGUGUUAACAAUUUAGCAACUUCGUUGUUGACAGAUCUAAUCUGUUUAGCAAUCAGUCUGCUGGAUUUGUUAUCCAGUCAGAACUUAGAAAACUGCAUAGAGAAAGAGUCAGGUAGAAAGAAUUACUUUAUGCGAUCAGCACGAGUAAUUCCUUCAUAGACACCAAUGAUUAGUAAU
rnacentral:rRNA from 1 species